AGGCGCGUAGCUCAGUGGUAGAGCACUACCUUGACAUGGUAGGGGUCAGCAGUUCGAUACUGCUCGUGCCUA
rnacentral:tRNA from 1 species